GAAAUGCGAUAAGUAGUGUGAAUUGCAGAAUUCAGUGAAUCAUCGAAUCUUUGAACGCACAUUGCGCCCCUUGGUAUUCCAUGGGGCAUGCCUGUUCGAGCGUCAUUUUUACCCUCAAGCUCUGCUUGGUGUUGGGUGUUUGUCCCGUCUCCGCGCGUGGACUCGCCCCAAAGUGAUUGGCAGCCGGCGUACUGGUCCCGGAGCGCAGCACAUGUCGCGCAAACGAGUGCCUUGGUACGGCGGCGUCCAUAAGCCCCUCUCUCACGCUCUUGACCUCGGAUCAGGUAGGGAUACCCGCUGAACUUAAGC
rnacentral:misc_RNA from 1 species